GUGGGGAAUCUUCCGCAAUGGACGAAAGUCUGACGGAGCAACGCCGCGUGAGUGAUGAAGGUCUUCGGAUUGUAAAGCUCUGUUAAUCGGGACGAAAGAGCCUAGUGUGAAUAAUGCUAGGAAGUGACGGUACCGGAAUAGAAAGCCACGGCUAACUACGUGCCAGCAGCCGCGGUAAUACGUAGGUGGCAAGCGUUGUCCGGAAUUAUUGGGCGUAAAGCGCGCGCAGGCGGAUCUGCCAGUCUGUCUUAAAAGUUCGGGGCUUAACCCCGUAAUGGGAUGGAAACUACAGAUCUAGAGUAUCGGAGAGGAAAGUGGAAUUCCUAGUGUAGCGGUGAAAUGCGUAGAUAUUAGGAAGAACACCAGUGGCGAAGGCGACUUUCUGGACGAAAACUGACGCUGAGGCGCGAAAGCCAGGGGAGCGAACGGGAUUAGAAACCCCAGUAGUCC
rnacentral:rRNA from 1 species